UACGGGGGGGAGCAAGCGUUGUUCGGAUUUACUGGGCGUAAGGGCGCGUAGGCGGUCGUGACAAGUCACUUGUGAAAUCUCCGGGCUUAACUCGGAACGGUCAAGUGAUACUGUCGGACUAGAGUGCAGAAGGGGCAACUGGAAUUCUCGGUGUAGCGGUGAAAUGCGUAGCAUAUCGAGAGGAACACCUGCGGCGAAGGCGGGUUGCUGGGCUGACA
rnacentral:rRNA from 1 species